rnacentral:tRNA from 1 species
AGAAAUUUAGGUUAAAAAGACCAAGAGCCUUCAAAGCCCUCAGUAAGUAAAUUUUACUUAAUUUCUG